rfam:Cicer arietinum chromosome Ca6, whole genome shotgun sequence.
AUGAGAUAUGAUGAUAUUUAUCCAUCAAUUCUGCAAUAGAGUGAUGAAUACUAACAUGCACUACCAUCUGAUCUCUU